rnacentral:rRNA from 1 species
AUACUUAGGGUGCAAGCGUUAAUCGGAAUUACUGGGCGUAAAGCGCUCGUAGGCGGCUUGUAAAGUCGGAUGUGAAAUCCCCGGGCUCAACCUGGGAACUGCAUUCGAUACUGGCAGGCUAGAGUAUAGUAGAGGCAAGUGGAAUUUCGGGUGUAGCGGUGAAAUGCGUAGAUAUCCGAAGGAACAUCAGUGGCGAAGGCGACUUGCUGGACUAAUACUGACGCUGAGGAGCGAAAGCGUGGGGAGCAAACGGGAUUAGAAACCCCAGUAGUCC